rnacentral:lncRNA from 1 species
UGGGCAUUCUAUCUUUUGUGCCCUGUGCAGGCACCUAGAUAGCACCAUCAGUGAGGAGGCCCUCACCAGACACUAAACCUGCCAGCGCCUUGGUCUUGGACCUCCCAGCCUCCAGAACUGUGAGAAACAAAUGCGUCUUCUUUGGAAAUUACCUAGUCUAAGCACAGUGGCCUCAUCAGAACCAAGACGACCAACCUUCUCCAGAGAAUGGACUUCUGUUGGGAGACUCUCCUCUUUCUACAAACAAAAUGGCCAGCUUGUUGAGAAUUUUUAGUACCAUUUGCAGAGCUCUCCAUAAUGUGAUACAGACUCUGGCCUGAAGAAAGCACAAAAUAAACAUGAACAAAUCAUAACUGUGCUUCAGUAGGAUCACCGAGAGCCAAGAUACAGAUUUGUGAGAUAACUACAAGUUUUGGUAUCAGGAUGAUGCUGGACUCAUAAAAUGAAUUAGGGAGGAGUCCCUCCUUUUCAAUUGUUUUUCCAUCUAUCCAUCUGACAAAGGUCUAAUAUCCAGAAUCUACAAGGAACUCAAACAAAUUUACAAGAAAAAAAACCAUUAAAAAGUGGUCAAAAAUAUGAACAGACACUUCUCAAAAUAAGACAUUUAUACAACCACCAAACAUAUGAAGGAAAAGCUCAACAUCAUUGAUCAUUAGAGAAAUGCAAAUCAAAACCACAAUGAGAUACAUCACAUCAGUCAGAAUGGCCCUUAUUAAAAAGUCAAGAAACAUCAGAUGCUGGCAAGAUUGUGCAGAAAUAGGAAUGCUUUUACACUGUUGGUUGGAAUGUAAAUCACUUCAAUCAUUGUGGAAGAUGGUGUGGCGAGUCCUCAAAAAUCUAGAACCACAAAUACCAUCUGACUCAGCAAUCCCAUUACUGGAUAUAUACCUAAAGGAAUAUAAAUCAUUCUAUUACAAAGAUACAUGCACACAUAUGUUCAUUGAAGCACUAUUCACAAUAGCAAGGACAUGGAAUCAAUCCAAAUACCCAUCAAUGAUAGACUAGAUAAAGAAAAUGUGGUACAUAUAUAUCAUGGAAUACUAUGCAGAUAUAAAAAGGAUGUCCAUUGCAGGGACAUGGAUGAAGCUGGAAGCCGUUAUACUCAGCAAACUAAAGCAGGAACAGGAAAUCAAACACUGCGUGUUCUCACUUGUAAGUGAGAGUUGAACAACGAGAUCACAUGGACGCAGGGAGAGGAACAACACACACUGGUACCUGUCAGGGGAUGGGGUGGGGGAAAGGAGAGUAUUAGAAAAAAAUAGCUAAUUCAUGCUGGUCUCAAUACCUCGGUGAUGGGUUGAUAGGUGCAGCAAACCACUGUGGCAUACAAACUGCACAUCUUGAAAAUGUACCCAGAACUUUAAAAAAAAAAGUAUUAAUUCUUCAUUAAAUUUGACAUAAUUUACCAUUUAAAAAAAUCUUCUUCAUGUAUCAUCAUCUGUAUUCAAUAAUACACGAAACUAAAGCAAAUAACACACCUACAACUCUUUUGCAUAACCUCUUUAUACUGAGAGGUUGGUCCAUACUUAAGAUCUGUGAACAUAUUUGAAAGAUGUGUCAUCAAUUCUCCAUUUGUUUUUUUCCUUGUAUUUUAUUUUUCUAACUCGUUUUGAGAUAUUCAUAAGACCUGAGACUCUUUAUCUUUGAGAAAAUUUUAAUGGAGCAUAUAAUUAACAUAUAAGACAUUAUGUUUUAAUAAAAUUAAUCUUAC